rnacentral:rRNA from 1 species
AUGGCCAAAAUAUCAAGAUAUGGAAUGAUAACGGGCUACCGAGGGACAAUCUUUUUAAGAGCUCUCCAUCCAAAAUCUGCUGACCCUCCGGAAUAUGUGUGCGAAUUGAUAGAUGCUGCAACAAAAUCCUGGGAUUUCCAAAAAGUUAAUGAUCAUUUGCAGCCUCCAAACGCGGAGGUCGUUCUGAAAGAUUCCGCUGAGCACAAGGAACGCUACAGACAGUUGGAAUCAGUUCGACACCAUCGCAACAUGGCUGACACGGCGGUCUGCCUGAUCUGCAACGGAGCGGAGGAUUCUUGGCGGCACGCUCUACUGGACUGCAACAUGGCAAAAUGUGUAUGGGCUCUCAUGGAUGACCAACUGGUUGAAUACUUGAUCACAUGCCGAAGCGAUGAUGCUCGCCUUUGGCUGAUGGAGCUGAUGGAACAACAAGAGAAGAUGAACCUGCUUCUUCUAUCCAAAAAGGUCACACCAAACAUCAGUGCAGCCAUUGAAGCCACUACGGGACGGAAGAGGAGAACCUGGAAGCAACCUAGAGAAGGCCAUGUGAAAGUAAUGGUAGAUGCAGCAGUAGCAAGGAAUGGAAAUAAAGGAGUGUACGCAGCGAUCUGUCGAAACAAGGACGGCCUCUUUUUGGGAGCUUCGGCAGUUGUGGUACGGGGACAAGUUGAUCCAAAGAUCCUCGAAGCUUUGGCUUUCAACGAGGGACUCGCAUUGUCAACUGAUUUAUACGAGCGACGAGUUCAGGUGGGAACCGAUUGUGCUGCAACUAUUUCUCAUCUGAAAGACCCACCGGCGCCCGAGCGGCAGCCCUGGCAGGUGAAGACGGGCGCCGCGAGCGGCGGCCCUGAGCCCCUGACCGUGAAGAUUGUCGCCCUGCGCCGCCGCCAACCCCAACCUCCCGUCGGUCGCUCCACCGCCUAUGACGCGGCCGUGCGCCGCCGGUGCUCCACCUCCCGAGGACGAGUUCAACCACUACAGUUCGUCACCACUCACCACUACCCGUCCUCUUCCACACGGUUCGUCCGCCACCGAUGCUCCACCUCCCGACGACCUGCCCACUUUCAGUUCUCCACAUCGCAGCUGAAGAUGUUUUCUGAACAUGAUGAGGAACUGAAUGAGAAUGAAGAUGCAUUUAUGAGUGUAGAGGCAGAUGCAGAAGCAGGAGACGAAUCCGUCUUAUGUAGUAUUAUUGACGAUGAAGUUGCCGAACCAACAGUUGUCGAAGGUGCCAAAAUAGAAGCUGCUCAAGAUGACAAGCCAAUUGAAGCUGAAUCAUGA